UCCCAGUUGGCUCAGUGGUAAAGAAUCUGCCUGCAAUGCAGGAGACCUGGGUUCGAUCCCUGAAAUGGAA
rnacentral:tRNA from 1 species